rnacentral:rRNA from 1 species
GACGAACGCUGGCGGCGUGCCUAACACAUGCAAGUCGAACGGGGGUAGCAAUACCUCAGUGGCGAACGGGUGCGUAACACGUGAAGAAUUUGUCCAACGGCGGGGGAUAGCCGGCCCAACGGCCGGGUAAUACCGCGGUACGACCACCGGGGGGCGAUCCCCUGAUGGUGAAAGCCGCAAGGCGCCGAUGGAGAACUUCGCGGCCUAUCAGCUAGUUGGUGAGGUCAUGGCUCACCAAGGCGACGACGGGUAGCUGGUCCGAGAGGA